UACGGAGGGGGCUAGCGUUGUUCGGAAUUACUGGGCGUAAAGCGCGCGUAGGCGGACUGUUAAGUCGGGGGUGAAAUCCCGGGGCUCAACCCCGGAACUGCCUUCGAUACUGGCGGUCUAGAGGUCUGGAGAGGUGAGUGGAAUUCCGAGUGUAGAGGUGAAAUGCGUAGAUAUUGGGAAGAACACCCGUGGCGAAGGCGGCCAUCUGGACCGGUACUGACGCUAAGGCGCGACAGCGUGGGGAGCAAACAGG
rnacentral:rRNA from 1 species